rnacentral:rRNA from 1 species
ACUCCUACGGGAGGCAGCAGUGGGGAAUAUUGCACAAUGGGGGAAACCCUGAUGCAGCCAUGCCGCGUGUGUGAAGAAGGCCUUCGGUUGUAAAGCACUUUCAGUAGGGAGGAAGGUAGUGUAGUUAACACCUGCAUUAUUUGUACGUUACCUACAGAAGAAGCACCGGCUAACUCCGUGCCAGCAGCCGCGGUAAUACGGAGGGUGCGAGCGUUAAUCGGAAUUACUGGGCGUAAAGCGCAUGCAGGCGGCCUGUUAAGUCAGAUGUGAAAGCCCGGGGCUUAACCUCGGAAUUGCAUUUGAAACUGGCAGGCUAGAGUCUUGUAGAGGGGUUAGAAUUUCAGGUGUAGCGGUGAAAUGCGUAGAGAUCUGAAGGAAUACCAGU